AUUGAACGCUGGCGGCAGGCCUAACACAUGCAAGUCGAACGCGUGGCGGACGGGUGAGUACUGUCUGGGAAACUGCCCGAUGGAGGGGGAUAACUACUGGAAACGGUAGCUAAUACCGCAUACCAUCGGAUGUGCCCAGAUGGGAUUAGCUAGUAGGUGGGGUAACGGCUCACCUAGGCGACGAUCCCUAGCUGGUCUGAGAGGAUGACCAGCCAAACUGGAACUGAGACACGGUACAGACUCCUACGGGAGGCAGCAGUGGGGAAUAUUGCACAAUGGGCGAAAGCAUGAUGCAGCCAUGCCGCGUGUAUGAAGAAGGCCUUCGGGGUGUAAAGUACUUUCAGCGAGGAGGCGUUACUCGCAGAAGAAGCACCGGCUAACUCCGUGCCAGCAGCCGCGGUAAUAC
rnacentral:rRNA from 1 species